rnacentral:misc_RNA from 1 species
CAACCCUCAAGCCCUGCUUGGUGUUGGGGCCCUACGGCUGCCGUAGGCCCUGAAAGGAAGUGGCGGGCUCGCUACAACUCCGAGCGUAGUAAUUCAUUAUCUCGCUAGGGACGUUGCGGCGCGCUCCUGCCGUUAAAGACCAUCUUUAACUCAAGG